rnacentral:rRNA from 1 species
UACAGAGGGGGCAAGCGUUGUUCGGAAUUACUGGGCGUAAAGGGCGCGUAGGCGGCCUUCUAAGUCGAACGUGAAAUCCCCGGGCUCAACCCGGGAACUGCGUCCGAUACUGGAAGGCUUGAAUCCGGGAGAGGGAUGCGGAAUUCCAGGUGUAGCGGUGAAAUGCGUAGAUAUCAGGAGGAACACCGGUGGCGAAGGCGGGUCUCUGGGCAGUAACUGACACUGAGGAGCGAAAGCGUGGGGAGCGAACAGG